rnacentral:lncRNA from 1 species
GAAAGCCCCAAGGUACCAAUCGAAAAGGUGACUAUACAACAACCAAACACAUAGACUUAGUAGCAAUACUGACCAAACUAAGCGCCCGUUUUGCUAGCAGGUUUGCAUCUUUAUUAUUGUUGACUUUGGAAACAUCCUCCAGUCGCAUUCAUCUUUCUUGAAUGGCGUUGUUGCUGUUGCACUGUACAAUUAAAUUGCAAGUCGAUCUCGGGAGAAUGCUUGAAAAAGAACACAACACAAAUCCAUUUCCAUCGCAUUGAACUUUAUGGAUCCUUUGGGAGGGGCAGAUUCUCUUUACGUGCCCAUGGAGCCUUUUUGAACCAAAAUAGGCUUAGGUUUUCAUAAAUGUAUCAACCGUUCCAUCACCAAGCGAGCCUUAAGUGUUGCCCCUGAUCCACCACCUUACGGUUAAAAAUACAUUCAUUUCUUUGUGACCAGACUCUCAUAAAAUAUCAUUCACCACACCUCAAACUAAGCAUUGACAACAACAUUGGGUAAGUUAACCUACCAUGCGAAACGCCAUUACUGCCACACGGGCACAAUCACAUCACAAGCAAAAAGUAAAUGAAAAAAUAAACUCAUCUGAUUUAUUGCAAAACGGACAGGAAGUGUUGUUGUCAAUAUUGAUGCCUCACUUGACUAGCUUCAUCUUAAUAGGGAUGCGCUCUUCGAGGAGUUGCCAAGUAAAAACAAUGAAUUUGGGAGGUGGAAGACCACGCCACACCUUCCGUAUACUCUGUGCAUAGUUAAUGCAGGAACAUAUAUUGAGUUUGCUAACUACUAUGGCCCAAACUGAAGCGUUGAAUCUAGAGCUUUGAAAGCCUAAUGACCGCAAGAUGAGAAGACUUUUGAAGAAGAAACAAAAGAUGGCCAAAAUUCAAAGUUGUUAAAAGCCCAAGAUUCAUUCAUCAAAUUCAAAUUAAAGUUUGUACAGACUCACAAGUCGGACAUGUGCGAAAGAUUUGGAAGUCUAGUUUUCAUCAAAACAAAUAAUGUGACUUCAAGAAUUUUCUACAAAGAGUUAUGAUUGUUUUAUUGAAAACUAUUUAAGAGGAUUGAAUCUGAACAAGUUAAUAAAUAAACUCUUUUGUUCAAUGCUUUGUGUUAAUUUGUCAUGUAAUUUGUGAACCUAUGCUUGGGGGAUGUCUCAAGUGGCCUAUAUAAGAUUAAC